CAAUGUGGAACUCAGCCAAGAUGGGCAUGCAUUCGUGGAUGUGGCUCGUGCCAGUGUAUCAUCUUUGCAAGAUGAUAAAAUCGACCCAUUGAAUUUAUCGCUGCCCCAACAGGACAUCUGUGAUAACCGAUACGAAAAUGUUAAGGGAAAUACUGCACACUGCAUCGAAUAUAUUGAAUUAGAAAUGUUAGAUGAGAUUCAAACCAGCACAUCUGUUGGAUCUAGUGAUUUUAAUGGCUUUGCUACGACCUCAGCACUGCCUCAAUCAGUAAAACCAAAUCGUUUCACCAUAUAUACUCCACUACCGAAUCAAGCUUGUUCAUCUAAUCGAUCUGGUAAUUUCAAUGAUCCUUUGAUUGUUCCGGAAGUUGAAAAAUCUCCGGAUAUCAAUGUUCCUGAAUCUGGUGCAUGCAUUCGUUCUAUCAGAGAGGUCACUCUGUCGGUCACUAAUGGAACACAUAACAUGAAUGAAAAUUCACAUGACGAACCCAGCACCGCGCACAAGACGAAUUGGCAUGAUGAAUAUAACAGAGUACUCGAAAAAUUAAAAAAUAAAAUAGCUGAAAAUAAAAAACAAAAGGAAAGCAUCGAAAAACUAAGGAAGGAUUUGGCAGAGGCGAAAGACAUCGCUCUCAUUCAAAUACAGGAAAACCAGAGAUUGAAGUCUAACGGACAAGUUACUUACGACUGAUCCAAAUAUCAACGUAACCGUGAAACAACUGGAAGAUAUAGACAGAGAAUCGAAGAGCGCUCUGGCUUUGCUGAUGUACGGAGCUGAAGCCUUGCGAGAAAUGUCGGUUACUGGUCGCAAAUACGCACAAUCUACAGAUAAAUCAAUAAGACCGGCAAUAGACGAAGCUAAGCUGCAAUUUAUCUACAAAAAAGCUCAAGAGAGAGUAGGUUUACAUAAAGGAAUGAGUAAUUUUUCGAUCAUCUCUCUUGAAGCUAAUAGCGCAGUAAUCAAUAGAGCACUCGUAGAAAAAACAGCUAAUUUGAGGAAGGCAGCCAUCUACGCAUCCAAUCGUAACAUUCGAAACUAGCAGGUUUUGAAGACAUUGAACAUAUUUUUAAAGUGCUAUAUCGUUUAAUUACCGUUUCAAGAGAA